rnacentral:rRNA from 1 species
CAGUCGCCGCGGUAAGACGAACCGUCCGAACGUUAUUUGGAAUUACUGGGCUUAAAGGGUGCGUAGGCGGCCCUACAAGUCAGGUGUGAAAUCCCACGGCUCAACCGUGGAACUGCGCUUGAAACUGUAGGGCUUGAGGGAGAUAGGGGUGAGCGGAACUGAUGGUGGAGCGGUGAAAUGCGUUGAUAUCAUCAGGAACACCGGCGGCGAAGGCGGCUCACUGGGUCUCUACUGACGCUGAGGCACGAAAGCUAGGGGAGCGAACGGGAUUAGAUACCCCAGUAGUCCCUGUCUCUUAUAA